rnacentral:siRNA from 1 species
UGCCCUUUGUACACACCGCCC